UUCGAGAACCCUCUCCACAAUUCCUCGCUGCCGGCCCCUACCCUCUCUUUCCUAGCGUCUUUUCCCGGCGACCGCCGGAGUUGAGUUGGGCGAGGGUCCCGUCUCCUGUAUAGCUGUAUUUGUAGUUAAGGUCUUGAUAAAUCUGAUUUGGUUUGAGCUUUCCCCGGCGUCUCUCCUUCCAGAUCUGGCCGUGCAGACCGUCGGAGAGGGAGACAUGGCGGCGGUUGCUUCCUUGUCCAAGUUCCUCACUCUCCUGUCUUUCUACUCCCCAUGAGAACUAUCACCCCAAAACUGAGAUGAGCCCAUCCCCCGCACGAUCGGGCGCGAUCCUUCGUUUCCUCUAUGCCGCAUCAUCCUACGGGGAAAGAUGGCCGUGUUCGUCCAGGCCAGCGAUCCCGGCCACCCGGCAGGAGGUCUAGGUUGCCUUUGCCGAUGCAUCAAGCUGCGGGCGCUCCGCUGGCGCGGCGUGCCCAAUGCAGGUGUACGCCGGGUAUUCCCGUGUUUAUCCGAUGGCAGCGCAAUCACCGGCACAGCGCGUCGCAUUGUCUUCCUCAACGAUUGCCACGGCGCUGCUGUCGUAUUCGACCUCCUCACUUCGCCGCUGUGAUUCUAUCCGCUGGGAGGCCAAUUACCUGAUGGGAGACAACCAGACGGGGAGAACGAUUGCUUGAAGAGCCUUAGGCAGUCUGCUCUCACAAGGAAAUGCAAAGGUAAUUUCACAAGAGAAGUGGUGAUGGCGAGGCUCUGCCACUGCAACCUUGUUCGCCUCCUUGCGUACUGCAAUGAAGGCGACGAGUGGAUAUCCACUCAUCUAUGGCUACAUGUUGAACAACAUCAUGGAUCUCUACAUAUUUGAUUGUGCAUAUGUGGAGAAGCAUGUAUGAUUGCCCUCAGGUUUAGAACAUAGUGCAUAACAAGCCAUUCUCCUUGGCAACCGACCUAGAAGUGAGGUCACAAUUGACACCCCUUGUCGUCCAACUUCCGGCACCUGAAGUCUCUGUGCGACAAAAUUAUGCUUGCCAUCUGAUCACCUUGCCGCAUGGUGAGAAGAUAGAUUAAGUUGGAGUUCGAGAGCUAAUAUUGUUGGCACAAAUGUUUUGAGCAAACAACUAAAAGAAGGGUAUACUAUGCUUUGCAGAUGGAAAAUGAUUCCACGGCCUCAUAUAUGCCUAUGGUAUAUGUAAGGGUGAAUUCCAUAUAUGCCACUCAAAACUUGCCCGUACCCUCAUCUGCCAUUGGAAAUUUCCCUCUCCCAAAUAUGCCAUUGAAAAUUUGCACCGUGUACAGAUAUGCCACUAUGGCCAGUUUGACCGUUAGUUGACUGUCAAGUGGCAUGUGAAAAGACGACUUUGCCCCUGAUACUGUAGCGGUGAUAUACUGUAGCAUUCCCAAUCUCAAAUUGCGGGGCGGACGUACUGUAGCGAUGUUAUACUGUAGCAUACGAACAGAUUUGAAAUUCGAACAAUUUUUUUGAAUUUCAAAAUAAAUCUCCGUAAUUUCAAAUUCUGAAUUCCUAACACUUUUUUUGAAACAAUUGUUCGCAAUUUUAAAAACUGAUUUUUUUUUUAAAAGUGGACGCUACAGUAUGUUUGCCCGCAAUUUCAGAAGUGACCAAACUUGUUCGGAAUGCUACAGUGUAUUGUCGCUACAGUACCAGGGGCAAAAUCGUCUUUCCAAGUGCUGCUUGACAGUCAACUAACGGUCAAACUGACCAUAGUGGCAUAUCUGUAUGCGGUGCAAAUUUUCAGUGGCAUAUAUGGGAGAGGGAAAUUUCCAAUGGCAGAUGGGUAUACGGGCAAGUUUUGAGUGGCAUAUAUGGAAUUCACCCUAUAUGUAACUAAGCAUGAAUCAUUUUUUUUUCUCUUCAUGGUGCUAUUGCAUGCAGCAUGCUUGUGCAUAUUUAUCACAGUAUCCAGUUGAACA